rnacentral:rRNA from 1 species
UCGGGAAUUUUGGGCAAUGGGCGAAAGCCUGACCCAGCAACGCCGCGUGAAGGAUGAAGUAUUUCGGUAUGUAAACUUCGAAAGAAUAGGAAGAAUAAAUGACGGUACUAUUUAUAAGGUCCGGCUAACUACGUGCCAGCAGCCGCGGUAAUACGAAGGGGGCUAGCGUUGUUCGGAUUUACUGGGCGUAAAGCGCGUGUAGGCGGACUUGUAAGUUGGGGGUGAAAUCCCGAGGCUCAACCUCGGAACUGCCUCCAAAACUACAAAUCUGGACCUAAGUAGAGGCAAGUGGAAUUGCGAGUGUAGAGGUGAAAUUCGUAGAUAUUCGCAGGAACACCAGUGGCGAAGGCGACUUGCUGGACUUAUGGUGACGCUGAGACGCGAAAGCGUGGGGAGCAAACAGGAUUAGAUACCCCAGUAGUCCCUGAGCGGGCUGGCAAGGCGCAU